GGGGCUGUGGCCCAGUGGCAGAGCGCUCACCUCGCAUGUGGAAGGCCCUGGGUUCGAUCCUCAGCACCCCA
rnacentral:tRNA from 1 species